UAGGUAGAAGUAUUGAGAUUGAGUUUAAAUCGUGACUUUUUGUGUUCAGUGACUGAACAGUGUCCCCCCUCUGUCUCUCUCCUUCCUUCCCCUCAUCUCUGAAUGGUAGCAAGGAGAGAGAGGUACCAUCGGCCCUGAUGGCAUUGUUGGACGAAAUGGACCCCCGGCGUCCCAGGCUCCAGAGGAGAGCCAGGUCCAGGCGGUGACCUGGGGGUCAAAGGUGGCUCUGGACCUAAAGGAGUGCCAGGUGCCCCUGGCCCUGGGCUGACAGAUGAGCAGGUAUUGCAGCUGUGUAAAGGAGUGGUGACAGCCCAGAUCUCCAAGUAUGCAGCUUCCAUCCGGGCCAAGUGUUCCCAAGGCUGCCCCAUCAACAACCGUACACUUAUUGGGCCGCCCGGAACCAGGGGACCAACUGGAAAAUCAGGCAAACCCGGUAAAGCGGGCAAAGCUGGAGUCAAAGGAGGCAGGGGCAUCCAAGGGGACACAGGAGUGGAUGGUCAGAAGGUGGCAGAGGGUGAAAGAGG